UGCUGAAUAGAUCAGUCGGUAGAGCAUGAGAUUCUUAAUCUCAGGGGUUGUGGGUUCAAGUACCACAUUAGGCAA